rnacentral:rRNA from 1 species
GACGAACGCUGGCGGCGUGCUUAACACAUGCAAGUCGUGCGGUAAGGCCCUUUCGGGGGUCCACGAGCGGCGAACGGGUGAGUAACACGUGAGCAACCUGCCCUUCACUUUGGGAUAACUGCCGGAAACGGUGGCUAAUACCGGAAAUGACUUCCUCACGCAUGUGGGGUGGUGAAAGCCUUCGGGUGGUUGGGGAUGGGCUCGCGGUCUAUCAGCUUGUUGGUGGGGUGAUGGCCUACCAAGGCUUCGACGGGUAGCCGGCCUGGGAGGGUGACCGGCCACACUGGGACUGAGACACGGCCCAGACUCCUACGGGAGGCAGCAGUGGGGAAUAUUGGACAAUGGGCGAAAGCCUGAUCCAGCAACGCCGCGUGAGGGAUGACGGCCUUCGGGUUGUAAACCUCUUUCGCCUGCGACGAAGCGAGAGUGACGGUAGCAGGUAAAGAAGCACCGGCCAACUACGUG